AGGGGAGAAUUUCCCCUUGUCUGCCUUGUACAUAGGAUUUGGAGUCAGAUAAUAUAGGUUCAAGGCCCAUAUCACCUAAUUAGUUGCUGUGUUGUUUUCGCAGUUGACUUAAUCUCUUUGGCCUUGUGUUUUCAUCUGUCAAGGAGGAUUAAAAUAAUACCUGCCCUACCUAGCUCACAGAGGAGAGCUCCUCUCUCCAAGGACAGUGAGCCUCUUGGGCUGAGGCCCCCUCACACUCAUCUUUGGGCCUCCACAGCACUUGGUGGGCACUGGGCCAACACACCAACACUCAACAGAUCCUUCUCAUUCAAUUGCAUGAGAUUAAAUGAAAUGAGUCAAUAGGUUAGGGGAAAAACCCAAACACCUCGUUUUGGGGUCCAGAAUUGAUUGUUCCCAACAGCAUCCCUGGAGUGGGUUGUGAUCACAUUCACUUGUAACUUGUUUGCUAUUUGCUUUGUUUAGCAAAUUCCUUCACAGAGAGACAGGGAAGGAGCCUGGGAAGGCAGGGGAAGGGUGUGGGAAGAUGCUGGAAUCCGAGAGGGAGCUCAGACUGUUGGUUGAACAUAUUGCUGUCUGUGUGGAAAAUGUUCACAGCAGUUACAACUUUGGAUGAAUAUGCAUUAGCGGCCGUGCUGCAAUUUGCCGACGUGUGCCACGCUGCACUCAGAGAUUUGGCAAGGUGGGUAAUUAUCUCCACAUUAUGUGCCUUGUCUCUUUCUCUUCUUAAUUAAGUAACUAAUCUGGUGGAGGAGAGCUCUGUUUGUGUUUGUUUGGCAGGUGCAGCCUCGUGACAGUUGUCUGGAGAAGUUUCUUGGAAAUUUAUGAGACUUUUCAAAAAACAAACUGCUCGGAGCUGAGCCGACCUCCUGGAGGCUGGGAGGAUCAGAGUUGGGCUCUGCCGGAGCACAAGGCAGUGUGGCAGUCGCUGCUUCUCCUAGACAGCGGGCUUCCUGCUGCAAGGCCCAUCAGGGGCUCUGAGCUUCCAGGGUGGCAGGAAGCAGGGUGAUCCAAAGGGUGGGCACUCCCCGUAGAAAAGAGGGAGAGGUUAGAGGCCAGAAUUAGAACAUCAGUGUUCUCCCUUCUACCUUGUUUCCCUCUGGAUUUCUCUGUUUGAGCAGAUUUUCCCUCUCAGCUCUUCCAAGCUCUCUGUAAAGGAAUUGAUGAAACGAGCUAAGUGACAAUCAUUUAUUGAAGACUGACCACGUGGCUCACAGGCAAACCUGCUGACAUAAAGGUGCUUGGCUGGGUUGGAUGGGACCCAAGGUGAAACUCCUGGGUCCCUGGUAGAUGGUGCAGGCCAGUGACCCAGUAGGUGUUGGGUCCCAUAGUGCUGCAGCACGGUCACCAGCCAAGUGCACAGACCACCACUCUGAUGCCUCCUCCAGGCUGUCUGCAAAGCAGAGCAGGUUGCUCAGGAGGGCGGGGGAUAGAGCAUCUUCUUUUGAGGUUCCUAGUUGGUUGCAAGAGAGGGUUGGAAGGGGCCAGGCCACAAAUGGUAGGAAUUGCCACUGGCUGCACUGAAUUUUACAGGCACGCCUGAGUGGGUCACAGUGUGUCAAUAGUGAGGAGAUUCCACUGAACAACACAGGUGCGCAACCCAGACGCAGGGUGGGCUGCUCUUUUCAGAAGGCUGUGCUGGCCACUGGGCACUUGCUUUGACCCAUAAGCUCUGUUUUCUUAUUUGAGAUGAUGGGCUUGCCUUCUGUAUAUGUAUGUUUCCUCCCAAUACACAUACACACACAUGCACAUACACCCCAAUUCAGUGAAAUAAGCUGUUAGACACCCCUCAUGAGUGGCUCAUCCUAGGGGUCACUGUGGUAUUGUGGGGAUAGAAUUCAGAGGUGACCCCCUAGAUUACUGGACCCUACUGUACACAUAACCUCUCUCCAUCAACCUCUAAUCUUAGUACUGUUGUGAAGGGAUUUUUCAGAUGUAAUUAAGAUCCCUAAUCAGUUGACCUUAAAAUGGAGAUUAUUGGGUGGGGUUGACCUAAUCACACCGGCCCUUUAAAAGUAGAGAGUUUUCUCCAGCUGGUUGCAGAAGAGAAAGUCAGAGAUCUGAAGCAUGGGAAGGAUUCAACACACCAUUUAUGGCUUAAAAAUGGAGGAGCCACAUAGCAAAAACUUGGGGUGACAUUUAGAAGCUGAGAGCAGCCCUCCAGUGACAGCCAGCUAGAAAGCAGGGUCCUCAGUCCAACAACCACAAGGAACUGAAUUCUGCCAGCAGCAAGAAUGAGCUUGAAAGUAGACUUUUCCUCAACACCUCUAGAUGAGAACUCAGCCUGACCAAUACCUGAUUCUGGUUGUAUCAUACCUUGAGCAGAGAACCCGGCCAUGCUGUGCCAGACCUCUGACCUACAGAGCCCUGAGCUAAUAUAUGGGUGCUGUUGGAAGCUACUAUGUUUGUGCUAAUUUGUUAUGCAACAAUGGAAAACUGAUACAUGUGUUAAGCCUCCUACCUGGCGUAUAAGAAAAGCUGCACAGAGAGACUCUGCCAUUUCUUUUACAAUCUAGGCAGGUGGGGACUCAGACCUUAGUCCAGGUUUUGCCACUGGCUUGUUUAGUGAUGAUCUCAAGAAAAACAUAUACCCUCUCUGGGCCUCAAUUUCCUCUUCUGUAAAAGUUGGAAUGGGACUCCAUGCUUUUUAAGAUCCCUCAUAGAGUGCUCAUUCUGAUUGUGACUAUAGACACUGACAUAAAAGAAUGCAUGGGGGUGACCACCUGGGAGAUGUAGCUUCCUUUGUAUGAGAUUUCUGGCUUCAAGGUCAGAGCAAUCCUCCCAUGAGACGGUUUCUGUAUUGACAUAUUCUGCUCAAACACUGUUCAAGGAUCUCUAUUGUCUAUAGGAAAAAAGAAGACCCUCCUCUUUGCUAUUUAGGGUCUAGAUAACUUGGGCCCAACCUAACCUCUGACCCUAGGUCUCACUGCUCCUCUCUGCACUCCUGCACAUCCCCACAUACUGCAUACCACCAUUGGUACCUGCAUUCAUUUUUCUCUCCUCAAAUUUAUAUGUUCUCCAUCUCUGUUAACCAAAAACUUAAGCAAAUAGACUUCCAUUUUCCAAGGGUUAGCUCCAGACCUACCUUCUCCAGGUAAACUUCCUGGCAUUUCUAUAUAAGUAAUUUUCUCCUUUGAUGGUAAUGAUAAGAAACUCAUCUCAAAGUAGCUUGAGAAGAAAAAAUGGAAACUAGUGAUUCAUGUCACUGUGAAAUCUAAGGUUAACUUUAGACACAGAUGGAUCCAGGGGAACAAUUUGUGCCUUUGGAAUUUUGCCUCCAUCUAUCUCUUUUCUUUGUUUCUCUCUGUAAGUCAGGGCCCUUCCUCAUAUGGGGUAAAAAUGUAUGGCCCCCGGCAGCCCCAAACCUGGUUCUUUAUAGCUUGAAAUUUAAAAGCAAUAUGUAUCCAUUUCCCCUGCAGCAUCUUUAUAUUAAAGAUCAGAGAAGACUGAUUGGUCCUCUGUGGGUCAGUAUCCACCCUGAGCCAAUCACUGCAUUCAAGUUGAUAGACACUUCUCUGAUUGGUCAGGGGAGUAUCUGCCUAAGCCUUGGUUGGAGCAGGGGGGCUGUGACUGAUAACCUCACCCUGACCACAUGGACUGGGGGACGUGUAGUCCUUCAAGGAAAAUCAGGAUGACCAGAGGAACUGAGAAAGGGGAGUUGGUCAGAGAGAAACAAGAAAUGCCCAUCCUAUCCUUGCCUUAUUCUGUUCUGGACUCCCAGUAGCUUCCCAUCUUUCCACUUAUUUGGCCAUAAUCCCACUCUGCCCUGCAUAGGAGAUGUGUAUAUAGCUGAUCCGAUUACUCGCAGAGCAAUAUAUGUAUGCGGAUAAAGUAUAACCAGUUGGUUCUUUCCCUGUGCCUAACCAGAUUUCCCUCCCAAUCUUGAUGAGCAGUGGGGAAAAAAAAAAACUAAUUGUCUAACAUGAUUGAAGAUAGUUGGCUCUGAUCAUUUUAAAAGGUUCCAUUAGGAACAUUUUUACUUAUUUGAGUAAAAAUACUUAGCCACUGCACUUGCUAAGAUGGGGUCCAGGUGUAUAUAUAGACAGGGGCUUAUAACAUCUUUAUAAAUCUAUGUGCGUGUGAGGGAUGAGUCCAAGUCCCUGGGCAGAAUUUCUUCUGUGCUCCCUGCCUGGGAGCAUUCACUGCCAGAGCCUGUGGCAGUGGGAGAUCUUGGCUUGGCCUUGGCGGGGGGCUCAAGGACAUCCCUGGCUGACUCAGCCUCUCUUUAACUCUCACGGAUGCAGUCUUAAUGGGGGAGGCGGAGGGACAGCCAGAUCUGUGUCCAGACCGCUGGUCCUACAGUCUCCUCCUAGCCUUGCUGAUGGGCUCACUGCUCCCUGCUGCAGUGGGCCAUAUAGUGUGGGUGGGUGGGGGGGAGGGGGACAGUAAGGGGCUCCACUCAUAUCUACCCCUUUCUAACUCCAAAUCUUUGCUGAGCCUUAAUGGCAAACUGGGCCCAUGAUUUGUCCACGCAUUAGGGGGACUCUGUGAACUGAGGCAAUUGGUUUGCAAAUGAAGGAGAUAAAGGAAUUUAGAAAUCCUCUUUGAGACAAUAGCUUGGCUUACAAAACUAUUGCCCCAAUGCAUAAUCCUAUUUUGUGGGUCAAUAACUGAAUAUUGCCUCAAUCUUUCUUUCCGAGUCCCUUUUGAAACAAAGACUAAGCUCCUUCCAGGCACAUGGUUCCCUGGGAUGGACAAGGAAGGUCACCCUCCAAACAGGCAAAAGAGGAAGUACGGGGCUUCCCUGGUGGCGCAGUGGUUGAGAGUCCGCCUGCCGAUGCAGGGGACGCGGGUUCGUGCCCCGGUCCGGGAAGAUCCCACAUGCCGCGGAGCGGCUGGGCCCGUGAGCCAUGGCCGCUGAGCCUGCGCGUCCGGAGCCUGUGCUCCGCAACGAGAGAGGCCACAGCAGUGAGAGGUCCGCAUACCGGAAAAAAGAAAAAAAAAAAAAAAAAGGAAGUACGUUAAAAAUUUAAAACCUCAGCCACACCGAGUGUGUGCCACUUGUGUCCUCUGUCAAAUCACCUGCUGUCGAAGGCAGGAGCCCAGUGGCACCCUUCCGCACCCUGCGCAAUGCCCCUUGCCGAGCUGUCACUCAGUAAGUGUCCUCUGGUUGGCUACAGCUUCAUUCUUGAGCAAAACUUGGAUCACUUUAUUUUGUGAAGUGCCUUAUGCCAUUAACCCCAUUAUUAAUUCCCUCAUCAGACAGCCACUGGGUACCUGCUGUGUGGCAGGCACUGUGCUAGGCGCUGUAGGAAUACAAAGAUGGAUGGAAGCUGGGAGGCGUGCUAUUUGCUGAAACACCCACGAUUCAAGUAACCACCUCAAAUUGGAGGGGCUACUGGCUAAUGGAGUGGACGUUAAAAAUCCCCGUGGGAGCUUCCCACGCUGCCCUCCAGGUCUUUGAAGGCUGCUUGAAAUGUUCUGCAGAUCUCCCAUGCUCCAUUUUCUUCAUCCUCCCCUGUUGAUGUUGAGCAUGGAAAGACCUCUGUGUCUUAGAACAUCCUUAACGUGUCAUUGCUUGACCCGAUCUAUAAAUAUUGGUGCCCGGGGUGCCAACUCCCCGAUGCUUGGUGGGGAGGCCACCCUGGAAGUGUGGCUCAGUUGAGCACCUGAUUUAUUUCCUGGGUUACAGAUGAGUGAGAAUUCUUAAUGGAAGUAGCUUCUCUAGUGACCCAGGAAAUGUGGAGAGGGCAGAAGCUCGCUAAAUCCUUUCCUCCUUGAUUUUUUUGGCCGUAACUGGUCUGUACUUCAUGGCCUCCACUCAAAGACAGGCGCACCUGGUGAUAGAGUCUGGCUUGGAGAAGCUCACACAGAGCGAGUGUAAAUUUCAGACCCACUGUAGCUAAAAUAAGCAAACGAGACUGCAGUAAUUUUAAGACCCCGAGUGGACAAUUGCAAAGGGGACUAGAAGAGUGCUGUUUUUAAAGACAAAGGAAGGGUGAAAGUUUGCCAAAGGGCUUUGCCAGAGAUGACAAAACUGCUGAGCGAUUUGGUAUGGGAAACGUUCUCCAGCGUCGUGGAAUGGGAGGAACACCACACCUGGAGAAUCAACUUUAAACUCUAGGUCUGGAUCUGCCACUGACUAGCUGUGUGACCUUGAGAAAGUCACUGUCCAUCUCUGGGGUUUUCUUCAUGGGCAAAACAAGAAAUCCACUGGUCAGUCACAUACGAGGUAUGAGAACGGGACAGGCUUCAGAAUGGUGUAGAGAAAGUCAGAGUGAUAACUUCAUCAGGCGCCACGAACUGCUGGUCAUCGAGCACCUACCAAGCGUCAGCCUUUGCACUGGGCACAUUUCACACGUUGUCAGGUAGUGGUUGUUCUUCAUUCUUUGGGCUGCCUGAUCCCAAAUUCCUCUGGGUGAGUCUUAGUGGGAGGCAAAGCCCUACAUUUCACCUAGGAAAGCAAAUAAGGCAAGAUGCUUCCUCCUAGUAUCUAGUUGUCCUGGAAUAUUGGCCCAGGUCCCAUCAGUCAAGAUGCUCCUGUCUGGCCUCUGAAUCAUGAACAAAUAAUCAAAGACAAAGAUACCAUUUGGAUGGACUCAUGACAGAGUCCAGUGGCCCUGGCCACGGGGCCUGUAUCCUAGGCAGUCUGUUCUUACAAAAACUGGUUAUGCCUUCUGCUCUUUGUCCAUCUGCAGCUACCUUCGUUUUUCUUCUUUUUCCCCCCGCUUUCUAAGUCUUACUCUUCAGAUUCCUGUUGGCUCUGAGAGUCCUUUCUGCUUGUGGUAACCAGAGCUGGUUUCUGUUGCUUGCAGCUCAGUUUCCAGGGUGAAACUCUGUUCUUAUCCUGUAAUUCCUAUAAUGACCCUCUGGGGAACUCUAUCAAUCCAUACUUUUUGGUAUCACUGAAAAUCUUUGUCUCCGUCGUGCUCCAGUCACUGUGAUGAUUAGUUCUGAGCAGGUUUUACUGGCUUGACUCCGGACCUCUCACUUCCUACCCUGGGGCUUCUGUGAUGCCAAAGCAUGAGGCAUCCAGGGAAGCCAGUGUGUAGGAAGGCAGCCGUGGAGCUGCCCUUGACCAGUGAUGAGUAGAAGCCAGUGGAGGAAUGUUCUCUCUGUUCCUCCCCCCAGGGCAACUGUUGUACAGAUGUAUUUCAUAAGGCUGCUCAGACAGUCGCACCUGUCAGUGGCUGACAAUAAUACGGGAUUAUACAGGAUUAUAUGGGAUUCCACCCUGUUCCACUGGCUGGUCCUUUGCUCCAGUUCCAUCAUUCCUUCCAAAGUAAAUGACCUGCGGGCCAGCCUGUUUCCUGGGCUCUGCUUCUGGGGGGACUGAGGCUCAGAUGGGAACCGAGAUGUGGAGAUGUUAGGGAGCUUGUUCUCGGCUCCCCCAGAGCACAGAACCAUGGCUUGAACAUGAGACCCUCGGACUCUGAACUCUUUGCUCUUUUCCUUCCUGUAGUGGUUAGUAUUAAUGAUAGGUGGGGAGCAUAGCGGGCUGAUCUCUAUGAGUCUGUGCCCUGGGAGGGGGUGCAGAGGAGGACUCUGGUUGGCCCAGGGAAGGGGGCGGUUCUGGAGUCCUUACCGUGGUGCUAUCAGCUUCACAUUGAAGACUCUCUUCUGGAUAUGUCUUCUUGCCUAAGGAAGUUUAUCUUUUAUUUUGCUCUUGGAUUUUUUUUUUUUCCUGCUUUUCUUUGCACCUGGCCCUGCUUUGAGAGCAUACUACCACUAUAUAGACUGUGAGGCAAGAGACCCAGCAUUCUCAAGCCCAACACCAACUUGCUGUUUGAUCAUGGAGCAAGGCACCUCCUCUGACCCUCUGGGUUCCCAUUUGGCCACUUGAGUGGUCCCCAAGUGUUCAUCUAGGUAGGCUGUGCCAGUCACCUACGAGGGUGGGGGGGGUGGAGCUCACUAAAAAUGCAGAUUCCCCAGCUCCACCUCCCGGCAUUCGGAUCCGGCGUACCAGGUGCGGGCCGGACUUCUGUAUUUUUAACACGUUUCUCACAUUUUCACAGGUUUCUCUCUCUCCUUGUCUAUCUUGAUCUCUCUCUCUCUCUCUCAACAGAUUGAUCUGGGAAUGAGUAAGGAAUCCCCAAAGGCCAUUCCACUUCCAAGUAUCUCCCCUGUUAACUGUGACAGGCCUGCAUGCAGUUCCACUUUUCAGAGUAGAUAUCAUCUCCAGGAGGCCUCUGUUAAAACACCAACGAGUUAUUCCAGAGGGAGACAUGUUAUCACUUUAGCAUCCGUAACAUCACACAGAUCACGUUACCGUAUCAGAGAGCAAAUCACCUUCAGAGAUCGGGGGCUGAGUUUGUUAGCACUAAGGAGCCCAAGUAAUGAGGGUGUUUUCUGAGCCAUGCGGGGACACUGAAGGCCAGAGUCUGGGCGCUAAAAGGGAGAGGCCCGCAUGAAGAGAGGGGAAGGGGGCUGAUGAGAAGUUCCGCUUACCUCACACAGACCAAAGAUGGGCAGGGAUCCAGGAGGAUAUCAACGAGGAGGCUGAGGCUUGUACUGGGCACCUCUGGGUUCAAAUCCUGGGGCCACCACUGUGUGAUCUUCGGCAAGUUACUGUACUACUUCCCUUUCUCUGAGGACACCUCUCUCUUUCUGUCUCUGCCUCUCUCACCCUGCCACGCACCAGAGUGAGUUCCCCGUAGGCAUGGCUGUUCUACAUGCUCUGACUCCCAUAGCUGAUUGGAUCGAGUGGUCACCGUCCAAAUAGAUCCAGGGUCUCUCACCUUGCAUUUGGAAUUUGGCCUCAGAGACAAAGUCUCUAGGUGGCUGGCAGUAUUCUGUGUCCCUGGGUAUCGCUGGGCAGGCAGCUGCAAUUUCUGCAACCACUAGAGGCAGAGAGAGCUGGUUUGCCGAGAGCAUGAAGCAGAGACUGGAGAGAAGCAGAAGAAUGAGGGGGCGGGGGAAUCCUGGGGGUUGUCAGACCAUAGCCCAGUGCUUUCCUGAAGCAGCAUCCGUCUGUGGGGUCUGGGAGGCUCUCUGUAAAUUUAUGAAAAACAAACAAGCGAAUAACUCACCUUUUUUGCUUAGACUAGUCUAAUUUCUGUUGCUUUCCAUUCAGCAGUCCCACCAGGCCCUCCCUUACACUCAGGACACAGUGCAAGGGGGCACAGCAGCAGACAGGCCCCGCUGAGUGGACUGCGUAUGCAUGCUUCACUUACCAGCGAUGUGCCCUGUGGUCCUGGUUGAAACUUUGCAGCAGAUGUUCCCCACCUAGCGACUCGUCCCAAAGCAACUUUUUCAAAGCAUUUCUUACAGAGCUUUACCUUGAAAAAUGAUAAUGGCUCUUCCCCCCUCUUCAUCCAUUUGCCAACUUGCCUAGGAAAUUUUACAGGGUCCAAACUACACAAAUCAGCGCUUCUCAAACUCUCCCUCAGAUGAAUGUUAAAACGCAGAUCCCGAUGCAGCAGGUGUUGGGCCUCCCGCAUGACGUGGCUUUGGACUAGCAUGUAUUUAGACUCCCUAUGCGGGGAAUUACAAGUGAGUGGCCAGUGAGAACCCCUGAAUCAGCGAGCAGGGUUGAAACCAAGUAACUACUCCAAGUAGGGUCAAAGAACUCACUAGUUUUAAUUAAUGAAAAGAAAAGUCUAAAUAGAGCAUUCUUGCUAAGAAAUACCGUCUUAUUUCUUCCAACAGUACAUCGGGGAAUAUUUGGCCUCUCUUGAAAAGAAGGAACAGAUAAGCGCACGUUGUAAUUAGCAUAUCAAUGACUAAUAAUUAAAAAGAGGUUUCUAAAGAGCUGGAGGAGAUUUGAACGGUUUUUUCUCUCCCUCUCAAAUCCACCUUCCUUCGACUUGCUUAUGUUUAUCCUGUGUGUAGAGCCUCUUGUACCAAACAGAGCGAUACUAAACUUCCAUGUAUCCCUAACGCAACGUUCGCAGAUUCCUCAGUAAUGCAGCCCCACUGGCGGUGCCAACCUCCUUACCGAAGACAUUGCUUUUGUUUUAUUUUUCUCUUUCAAGAAACUGACAUCUUAGCGCCUCAUAUCCAUCUUAGUUUAAACAAAUGUUUUGAUUACAUCCAAGCGAGAGCCCAACAAAAGCUGUUGGGACUGAACUGAAGCAUUUGUUAUUAGUUUUAGACAAUUUGUUCUAAUAUUGUCUGGAAUCAUUCGUUUAUACACCCAUACAGAUUUGAUUACUUUAUUUGUUUCAUUAAUCUUUAUUUGUUUAAUCAUCUGUUUCAUCUGUUUAAUCAUUGGUUUAAGUGGAAAGAUUACAUGAAGAUGUUUAGCGUUGGCUCAUACAGGCAUUCUGACAUGGGGCUCAGCAUUCCUUUUCGACUAUUGCAUUCUUUUAUGGGACUUCAUGAGCUACUUGAAAGCCUGUAGGAUGCUUCAGGGAAUUCAAUAAUUUAGUAGUUCUUCACCACUGAACAUGAUAUAUUUUUUAAAAUGUUAUUUAAGUAGGCAAUAUUUGUGGAAUAAUUUGACUUCCAUUCUGGGUUUGUGGCUCCUCCUCUCCUAACCAAAUGCAAUAUUUAAGGUGGAACCGAGGCCAUUCUUGAAGAGAUUGGGAAGGUCUGGGAGACUGGGCAUGCUCUCAAAGUUGAGGGAGCAGUUUCUUCUCUUUAGGCUUGUUUGCUCUGAGAAUCCAAGUUGGUUCUUGUUUGAAAGUGUAAAGCAGUGCCCGAGGUCUGAUAUCAUACUGUAACUAUCAGGGAUGCUGUGUCCCCCCCAUCCGCCUCCAUGCUGGAGGUGUCUAUCAGAUGUGGAGGCUCUAACUCCGACUGGGACACCCCUUGGGAGCUGUUUAAACAUGAAUAGCUUCCUUUCAUCUGAUCCAUUUAAUAAAACGGUCACCACUCUCUGUGGUGGCAGUUUUUUAUGUUAUUCUCCAAUUUGGCUUGAGGAUGGGAGUUGUGUGUGCUGGAUAGACCUUGUGCAUCAUGGUCAGUACAAUAGGUGUUACUUCAACAAGAGUCAAUCAAUGAACAUCUCGGGUAAGUGCGUAAACUCUAGUGGGGGAUGACGCCACUGCAGACAGUGUUGUAGGCACAGCUCAUCUACUUCUGAGAAUGGAGACCCUUGCUUUCAAUGGAGAGGUCUGCCCACCUCCAGACCUUGUCCUUGGCAGCCCUCUACCCCAUCUUCCCCAAAUCCUGCCAUCUUCCAAGGCUCAGGUUAUGUUUCACCUCCUUUCUUGGACCCCAAAGCCACACAUAGAGCAGGUGAGAGCAGAAUUGAGAUUGGAAUUCACUUUUCUGAAAUUCUGUUGGAAAAGAACCCGUUACCCCAACCCAAAAUGUUCUGAACUUUUGGUCCCUUACGACAAGAAGCUGAAAAGAGAAUAAAAAUGAUACUGCUCUGUGCUGCUGUUGCCAUCCUAAUUAAGUACCAUCCUUUCAUGCUUUCCAAGUACAUUGAUUUUAAUGCCCCUCAAACCUUGCUGGCGUGUAGCUGGGUUGUUAACCUGGCCAUUUGUACCCUUGGAUGGAUUGAACCUCAUGGGAUCUCCGACGCCUCAUCCAGGGCUUCCUCGGACGCGAUUCUUGGGAGAGCAUGGCACCCAACAUACCUGAACACGUCUGGGUUCACGCCGCCUCUUUCAUGGGGUACGUGACCUUGGGCAACUCCUUUAACAUUCUGAGCCCUGUUUCUGGUCAUGACAAUGAGGAUGAUAAUGGUCUUUACCCCACAGGUUGUGGUGAGCACAAAAUGACAAAACAAGCGUCAGUGCCUGUCCAGCCUGGUGCCUGGUGAGAGUGAGCCCCAGGGUCUGCUGUUGUGGGGGAACCCCCGCAGGGGUCUCUUCUGUGGAUCCGUGUGCAGAGGUCUUCAGAAGGGAGAGUGGGCUGCCAGAGGGGACGGAUUCCGAGAGGAGGAGGCACUCGUCCCCUGUGUGUCUUUCUGUCUGUUCCAACGUCACCUGGAGGGUUUGAGUUGUGCUGUUUGUUUUCUGUGGCUGAAACAGUGCCAGCCCCCAACACAAGUGCCUUGUUCCUUCUCUGAGGGAUACCUCGCUCUGGAUUCCCUCUGUCGAGCUUACAGCCUGAGGCUUCUCUUUGAUUGGCCCUAAGCAUCCUAGACCCUGGGAGCCCCCUACCCACACGUCCGAAGGAAUCACUUCUUUAAAUAAAAUCCUGGAUGGUAUUUGAAAGAGACGUUUUCAUUAAGAGGCUCCCUCCUGGGCCUCCAGAUUUCAGUGUCCGUAAACUGCCAUUGCCUGAAACGACUUACUCACUCUUGCCUCUAUCUGGGAACUUCCUUGAUGCUCCUCCCUUUCAUCCUCUUUCUUUGCAUUCCCCGAAGAGCUGCCCAAGCAGGUUUGGAAGAGUCUGGGAGAAGCUGGCCGCCAGCCUAGCUCAAGACACCAUUCCCAAUUGGGCAUCCUCAGUCUAUUGUUGGGCUGUGGGCAUCAUGCAGUGGCAUGCUUAGUAGAGCUGCCUGGUUAACUCAUAGCUUUUUGACUGAGGACAGGGCCUCCACACUCUGAAGGGUUUACCUUCUUCCAUCAGGCUUUGGGCUCCGUGCUCAGGGAGAAAUGUGGGAAGUGGGACAACUGUUCAGUCAACCAGUGCAGCUAACUUAAUCCUGGUGCUCAGUGGUGUGAGCUGCUGUGGUCAGACACACUUGUGUCCACGGGAAUAUGGGAGAAUGGAGUUCGCCCUGUGCAAAGAGCCCACCUCCCACCCCUACCACCCUACCCACGUGAGUCCCAAUAACUAGGGGACUCAUUCCCCUAGUUAAGGAUGUGUCUUGGUUAACAACCUUUCUUCUAGAUCCCGGAUUUGAUAGCAGGCUUUGGAGAAGAGGAAUGGAAGGUUCUGAUGGUUCCUGGUAUUUAAGGAAAGGAGGAACAGGUUGACACCCAGUCAACAUCCCAAGGACCAUGGGAACAGGGAGAAGGUCUUCAGCAAUGAGAGGAACUCAAGGAAGAGGGAAGAAGCCAAGAUGAACUUGGAAGUUCUGUCCCACUUGUUCCAGGUCAUCUUGGUGCUACCCUUGGCAUCCUGGCCAUACUUUGCAGAUGCCUGUGGUAGAGUGGCCUGGCCGUGAGGCCAGACCUCCAGCUUUGCUCUCCACAGCCACAAGGAGGGACUUUGACUUCACCUUUGCAUCCCAGUCCUUCUACUUGCUCUUUCACCUGAGGCCACAUUUCUCAUAGGGUGGGCACAUCAUAAAGGUGAGAUAGAUUGAGACUUGAUAUAGGUCAUAGAAGAAGGUGUUCAGGCAACUUUCUAUGAAUAUUUAUUGAACACCCACCGUGUGCCAGACACUACGCCAGGUCCUGUGAGUCCAGCAGUGGACCUGCUGGACCCAACUUCCUAGGGCUAUCGGAAAGAUUAAAUGAGAGAAUGUGCAUCAAAAAAUACUGCUGAUGCUGUAAUAUUGAACCAGAGUGUAGAGGGUUUGGCUGCCAGGCUAAGGACUAUAUACUUUCAAAAACAAUGAUGAGUCAUCAGGUGGUUUGGGACAAAAGAGUGGGAUGAACUGAUUUUGUUAUGAAAUUUUCCAUUAUAAAAAUACUCACGUUUGUAAAAUGAUGAUGUGUAUUAGAGUAUUGCUUCCAAAUACCCCAGAAAACACUGUGUUUUAUAAAUCUUGUUAAUAUUUGUAAAUCUAGUGGGUGAGAAAUGAUGGCUUUAUUUUAUGUGUUUUUAAUUAUAAGUAAGGUUGAGCAUCUUUUCACAUAUUUAUUUGUACUUCAUUGACUUAUUUUCAUUUGCUGGUUCACAUCUGCUUCCCAAUGAUCUAAGAGGUUGAUUUU